ACCUAAACACGACGAGGAGACAACCGAAAACGAUGAACAAGAUAAAAACAAAAAAAAUGCAUGCACAAGAAAAACUUACAUAUCCAAAUAAAUUAUCUUGUUCAAAAUCAGACAAAGAAUAGACUAAUACCAUACCCCACCACUGAUUCGCUUCCGCAGCCACUAGAUGUCACCCCCUCCAAAACUCCACCCAUCCUCCAAAACAGGCCGAAGAGGAGAGAGGUGGAGGAGCCGCC
rnacentral:lncRNA from 1 species